GUGUCAGCCGCCGCGGUAAUACGUAGGGGGCAAGCGUUGUCCGGAUUUAUUGGGCGUAAAGAGCGUGUAGGCGGCCUUACAGGUCAGCUGUGAAAACUCGAGGCUCAACCUCGAGACGUCGGUUGAAACCGUAUGGCUAGAGUCCGGAAGAGGAGAGUGGAAUUCCCGGUGUAGCGGUGAAAUGCGCAGAUAUCGGGAAGAACACCCGUGGCGAAGGCGGCUCUCUGGGACGGUACUGACGCUGAGACGCGAAAGCGUGGGGAGCAAACAGGAUUAGAAACCCUAGUAGUCC
rnacentral:rRNA from 1 species